AGUAACGGCGAGCGAACGGGGAAGAGCUCGUAGCCGAAUCCCGAGCCUCGGGGCUCGGGAAAUGUGGCGUUUGGGAGGCGGCAUAUCUCCGGGCGCGGCGUGGGGUGCGAGUCCCCAUGAGAGGGGCAUGCUUCCCGGAGCGGGUGCUAGGCCCUUACCGCCCCGCGGUUGCGAACGGAGCGCCGUUCUCCUGGGAGUCGGGUUGCUUGGGAGUGCAGCCCAAAGUGGGUGGUAAACUCCACCUAAAGCUAAAUAAGACCGAGAGACCGAUAGCAAACAAGUACCGUGAGGGAAAGUUGAAAAGCACUUUGAAGAGAGAGUUCAAGAGUACGUGAAACCGUUUGGAGGUAAACGGGUGGGGCCUCGAAAGCCUCAAGACGAUGGCGGAUUCAGUUUCGGGUCCUUUCUACCCUUUCCCGUCUUGCCUCGAGAGAGGAGGAUGGGUUUGGGUUCCGGAUGGGCCCGUAGCGCAUUUCCGCGCCUCGUCCGACGGGACGUCGCAACGGGUUGGAGUGGCCGUCGAAGGGCCCGGACGUAAGGUGGCCGACCAUCCUUCGGGACCGACGGUGUUACAGGCGUCCGGGAUUUCCGAGGGGCCCUCCGACCGUGGAAGAGGAAGAACCUCGACACCGUUCCCCCCCUUCGAGGAUGCUGCAUCCCGGGGCACUCUUCGACGGUUGGCGAGUUCGCCUCGAGGGGCGAGCGCCUCCGUUCGAGGGGUACUACCCUGGGUCGUGCAGCGGGGAGCAGGAGGUUGGCGACGAGUAGGUCGGUCUCCCACCCGACCCGUCUUGAAACACGGACCAAGGAGUCCAAUGCGCGUGCGAGUUCCCGGGACUUGAUCAGGCCCGUGGGCGCAAUGAAAGUGAAGGUUGGCUCUUCGCCAUCCGAGCUGGGAUCCCCACUAUAUAUAUAGUGGGGCGCACCAGCGGCCCGUCCUACUCCAGUUCUGGGAGGGCGGAGCUAGAGCACGCGCCUUGGGACCCGAAAGAUGGUGAACUAUGCCUGGGCAGGGUGAAGCCAGAGGAAACUCUGGUGGAGGCCCGUAGCGAUUCUGACGUGCAAAUCGAUCGUCAGACCUUGGUAUA
rnacentral:rRNA from 1 species